AUUUGAACAGCAAGCUGGCGUAUUGCGAGGGGAAGCUCACGUACCUGGCUGACAGAGUGCAGAUGGUGUCCAGGACCGAAGAGGGCUACACAAAGGUGAGGGACGCCCUGGAGUCCUCGACUCUGAAGGAGAAGUACAACACCAGGAUCAGCUUUGAGGACCGGGAGGAGGAUAUGAUCGAAGGAGGCAUGCCAUGCCAGACAGGCCCGGAGGAGAGGCACCAGGGCUGGAGCAGGGAGGAGCGCGGGGAAGACACCUUCCAGUUCGCCGACAUGGACCACAGCUACGUCCCUUCGCGCGCCGAGAUCAAGAGGCAGGCGCAGCGGCUAAUCGAGGGGAAGCUCAAGGCGGCCAAGAAAAAGAAGAAGUAGCCCCGCCUCCCCGCUCCCUGCUUUGUUACACAAAUAAACAUUUUUCCAGGA
rnacentral:sRNA from 1 species